GACGAACGCUGGCGGCGUGCUUAACACAUGCAAGUCGAACGGUGAAGCGCCUUCCUUUUUGGUGGGUGUGGAUGAGUGGCGAACGGGUGAGUAACACGUGAGUAACCUGCCCCCUUCUUUUGGAUAACCGCAUGAAAGUGUGGCUCAUACGGGAUAUCCUGGGUCUGUGUCAUGAUGGGUCUGGGAAAGAUAUUGUUUCGGUGGGGGAUGGGCUCGCGGCCUGUCAGCUUGUUGGUGGGGUCAUGGCCUACCAGGGCUGUGCCGGGUAGCCGGCCUGAGAGGGUAGACGGUCUCAGUGGGACUGAGGCACGGCCGGGACUCCUACGGGGGGCAGCAGUGGGGGGUAUGGAGCAGUGGGGAAAAGCGUACUACGGGGACGACGCGGGAGGAGUGGAGGCCUUCGGGGUGUGAAGCUCUUUCGCCAGUGAAGCGGGUCUGCCUCGUUUGUAGGUGGAUUGACGGUAGCGGGAUAAGAAGCGCCGGCUAACUACGUG
rnacentral:rRNA from 1 species